UGCAAGUCGAACGGCAGCACGAGAGAGCUUGCUCUCUUGGUGGCGAGUGGCGGACGGGUGAGUAAUAUAUCGGAACGUGCCCAGUAGCGGGGGAUAACUACUCGAAAGAGUGGCUAAUACCGCAUACGCCCUACGGGGGAAAGGGGGGGAUUCUUCGGAACCUCUCACUAUUGGAGCGGCCGAUAUCGGAUUAGCUAGUUGGUGGGGUAAAGGCUCACCAAGGCAACGAUCCGUAGCUGGUUUGAGAGGACGACCAGCCACACUGGGACUGAGACACGGCCCAGACUCCUACGGGAGGCAGCAGUGGGGAAUUUUGGACAAUGGGGGAAACCCUGAUCCAGCCAUCCCGCGUGUAUGAUGAAGGCCUUCGGGUUGUAAAGUACUUUUGGCAGAGAAGAAAAGGUAUCCCCUAAUACGGGAUACUGCUGACGGUAUCUGCAGAAUAAGCACCGGCUAACUACGUGCCAGCAGCCGCGGUAAUACGUAGGGUGCAAGCGUUAAUCGGAAUUACUGGGCGUAAAGCGUGUGUAGGCGGUUCGGAAAGAAAGAUGUGAAAUCCCAGGGCUCAACCUUGGAACUGCAUUUUUAACUGCCGAGCUAGAGUAUGUCAGAGGGGGGUAGAAUUCCACGUGUAGCAGUGAAAUGCGUAGAUAUGU
rnacentral:rRNA from 1 species